CAGUUAGGUGUGGCGGAGAUGCGUAUGUUGAGAUGGAUGUGUGGCCACACGAGGAAGGAUCGAGUCCGGAAUGAUGAUAUACGAGAUAGAGUUGGGGUAGCGCCAAUUGAAGAGAAGCUUGUCCAACAUCGUCUGAGAUGGUUUGGGCAUAUUCAGCGUAGGCCUCCAGAAGCUCCAGUGCAUAGCGGACGGCUAAAGCUUGCGGAGAAUGUUGAGAGGUCAGGGUAGACCGAACUUGACAUGGGAGGAGUCCGUUAAGAGAGACCUGAAGGAUUGGAGUAUGACCAAAGAACUAGCUAUGGACAAGGGUGCGUGGAAGCUUGCUAUCCAUGUGCCAGAGCCAUGAGUUAGUCGCGAGAUCUUUAUAGGUUUCACCUCUAGCCUACCCCAACUUGUUUGGGACUAAAGGCUUUGUUGUUGUUUGUUGUUGUUAUGGUUUAAUGGUUGCUUUUGUUCUUCUUCAACGGUCAGAGUGUUGUUGGGUCUGUGGUAGGUUCGGUUUAUGUGUUUUUUUGUUGUCAUGCACUCCUUUUACAGAAAGAAGAUUUGUCUGUGGUUUAUUUAGGUUGUUGUUUCUGUGUUUAGGUAGAUUAUUCAGCAAAUGCUUGGGGGUGGGCUCUGUGAUGUUGCUGUGAAGUGUCUGUUUUAUGGUGGUGGUGUUUUUCGAGGGCUUUUAUUACGUCUGGUUGAAGAUUCUAUGGCAUUAUCAUUUUGUCUUGCUGCAACUGCAGUCCACGAUGUAGCUAUGCUUGCUCUUAGGUAAAAAUCAUGGUUCGUGUUGCUUGGUAGGAGGUUCAAAUGGUUAUUUGAAGUCGUUUUGGUUGAUGUCUUGCUGAAGCAUGCAUAUGUUUGGUAUAUCCAGUUAUGUAUAUGUAUAGUUGUUUUAUGUCUGGCUCUGAGCGAGCCUUACUGUUAGCUUCGGUGCUGCCAGCAUUGCUAAACAUGUACUUUACUUGUGCUGUCUCAUUGGUUAUCUUCGAUCAAGAAGAAAAGAUUGUAUGGCCUGGUAGUGGAAUUGAUGGGUCUAAGUUAACAUAGAUUUAUAGAUUUGUUUUUCUUAUGUAUUACUGUCAUUUGUAGCCAAACUGCUAUAUGUCGUUUUCAUGCGACUAUUUUCCUAAUUAGUCCAGUUUUAUUGGUAUGUGUAUUGAGAUUCAUUUAUUUUAUCCCCUUUGUGUUUUGUUUCUCUAUGCUUUAACAUGGUCGUCCAGGAAGGGCAAUUGUUCAGUUAUGCCGCCGGAGAUCAUGGCUCUGGUUGUUAGGAAAUAUGUCGUCGAAGUGACCGUGCCACGAUAUUCCUUUAGGAGAGAUAAGGAUGCCUUGACUUUCUAGGUUCGCAAGUUCUUCCCAGUGGGUGGAUCUAUGUAACACGAUUUCGUUGCAGGCAGCAGUUCUUCCUGUACCGGUGCUGCAGCGGAAUUGCCUGCUCAUCUUGAUGGAGUGGCUGCUGAAGCUUCUGGCGCUGCUAGCCAGCGCCAUGAGCUCCCUGAACGUGUCUUUACGCCAGCAAAGGAUGUGCUGGAAACCUAGACGCAGAAUGAACAUGUUGAUGAUACAUCAGAGUCAGUGAAGGAGGAUGAUCCACCAAAGAAUAAUAAAAGGUCUAGCUUAGAUAAUUUAGCAUUUCUUAAUCUGUGAGUGGCCUUGUUAUAAUGCUCUGGAGAUGUACUGCAUUAUAUCCAGGGCCGGUGCAGCUGCUGUAAAAUCCACAGUAGAAAAGAAGUUGGCUGUAAGUGGGUCGGAGAAGGGUGGUCGUGUGGCGAAUAAUAACUGAAGAAACCCACGAAGAACCAACCAGCCAUAGGAGCCUGGAAAAAAAAUCACGCCCAAAAGAAAACUCGCGCGGUAGGGCGCGCGUAUCUCUCUAGUUUAUACUAACUAGUAAAUGCGUACGUGCAAUGCCCGUUAAUAUUAGGAUGGAAAUUAAUUGCACGUUUAUAUUAGGUAGGAUAUCAAAUAUGCGUUAAUUAUGUGAUUAGUACAGACAUGUAUGAUAUUAAUUGCAUGCUAAACAUGUUGAGCACUCACCAUUGGAGCAAUCUAGGUCGUUGGAUUGA